GAUGAACGCUAGCGGCAGGCCUAAUACAUGCAAGUCGAACGAUAUUAAGGAGCUUGCUCCUUAAGAAAGUGGCGCACGGGUGCGUAACGCGUAUGCAACCUACCUUGAACAGGGGGAUAGCCCGGGGAAACCCGGAUUAAUACCGCAUAAUAUAAGGAACGGCAUCGUUUUUUAUUGAAGGAUUUAUUGGAUAGAGAUGG
rnacentral:rRNA from 1 species